rnacentral:rRNA from 1 species
CAGCACAGGAGAGCUUGCUCUCUGGGUGGCGAGUGGCGGACGGGUGAGGAAUACAUCGGAAUCUACUCUGUCGUGGGGGAUAACGUAGGGAAACUUACGCUAAUACCGCAUACGACCUACGGGUGAAAGCAGGGGACCUUCGGGCCUUGCGCGAUUGAAUGAGCCGAUGUCGGAUUAGCUAGUUGGCGGGGUAAAGGCCCACCAAGGCGACGAUCCGUAGCUGGUCUGAGAGGAUGAUCAGCCACACUGGAACUGAGACACGGUCCAGACUCCUACGGGAGGCAGCAGUGGGGAAUAUUGGACAAUGGGCGCAAGCCUGAUCCAGCCAUACCGCGUGGGUGAAGAAGGCCUUCGGGUUGUAAAGCCCUUUUGUUGGGAAAGAAAUCCAGCUGGCUAAUACCCGGUUGGGAUGACGGUACCCAAAGAAUAAGCACCGGCUAACUUCGUGCCAGCAGCCGCGGUAAUACGAAGGGUGCAAGCGUUACUCGGAAUUACUGGGCGUAAAGCGUGCGUAGGUGGUCGUUUAAGUCCGUUGUGAAAGCCCUGGUCUCAACCUGGGAACUGCAGUGGAUACUG